CCUACGGGGGGCAGCAGUGGGGAAUAUUGGACAAUGGGGGGAACCCUGAUCCAGCCAUGCCGCGUGUGUGAAGAAGGCCCUCGGGUUGUAAAGCACUUUCAGUGAGGAAGAACGCCUGGUGGUUAAUACCCAUCAGGAAAGACAUCACUCACAGAAGAAGCACCGGCUAACUCCGUGCCAGCAGCCGCGGUAAUACGGAGGGUGCGAGCGUUAAUCGGAAUUACUGGGCGUAAAGCGCGCGUAGGUGGCUUGAUAAGCCGGUUGUGAAAGCCCCGGGCUCAACCUGGGAACGGCAUCUGGAACUGUCAAGCUAGAGUGCAGGAGAGGAAGGUAGAAUUCCCGGUGUAGCGGUGAAAUGCGUAGAGAUCGGGAGGAAUACCAGUGGCGAAGGCGGCCUUCUGGACUGACACUGACACUGAGGUGCGAAAGCGUGGGUAGCAAACAGGAUUAGAUACCCUAGUAGUC
rnacentral:rRNA from 1 species